rnacentral:rRNA from 1 species
CCUACGGGUGGCAGCAGUGAGGAAUAUUGGUCAAUGGGCUUACGCCUGAACCAGCCCAGUCGCGUGCGGGAAGACUGCCCUAUGGGUUGUAAACCACAUUUGUCGGGGAGCAACGCCGGCUACGUGUAUCCUGACUGAGAGUACCUGAAAAACAAGCAUCGGCUAACGCCGUGCCAGCAGCCGCGGUAAUACGGAGGAUCCGAGCGUUAUCCGGAUUUAUUGGGUUUAAAGGGAGCGUAGGUGGAUUGUUAAGUCAGUUGUGAAAGUUUGCGGCUGAACCGUAAAAUUGCAGUUGAAACUGGCAGUCUUGAGUACAGUAGAGGUGGGCGGAAGUCGUGGUGUAGCGGUGAAAUGCUUAGAUAUCACGAAGAACUCCGAUUGCGAAGGCAGUUCACUGGACUGCAACUGACACUGAGGCUCGAAAGUGUGGGUAUCGAACAGGAUUAGAUACCCGAGUAGUC